GGUUAAGCGACUAAGCGUACACGGUGGAUGCCCUGGCAGUCAGAGGCGAUGAAGGACGUGCUAAUCUGCGAUAAGCGUCGGUAAGGUGAUAUGAACCGUUAUAACCGGCGAUUUCCGAAUGGGGAAACCCAGUGUGUUUCGACACACUAUCAUUAACUGAAUCCAUAGGUUAAUGAGGCGAACCGGGGGAACUGAAACAUCUAAGUACCCCGAGGAAAAGAAAUCAACCGAGAUUCCCCCAGUAGCGGCGAGCGAACGGGGAGCAGCCCAGAGCCUGAAUCAGUAUGUGUGUUAGUGGAAGCGUCUGGAAAGGCGCGCGAUACAGGGUGACAGCCCCGUACACAAAAAUGCACAUAUUGUGAGCUCGAUGAGUAGGGCGGGACACGUGGUAUCCUGUCUGAAUAUGGGGGGACCAUCCUCCAAGGCUAAAUACUCCUGACUGACCGAUAGUGAACCAGUACCGUGAGGGAAAGGCGAAAAGAACCCCGGCGAGGGGAGUGAAAAAGAACCUGAAACCGUGUACGUACAAGCAGUGGGAGCACGCUUAGGCGUGUGACUGCGUACCUUUUGUAUAAUGGGUCAGCGACUUAUAUUCUGUAGCAAGGUUAACCGAAUAGGGGAGCCGAAGGGAAACCGAGUCUUAACUGGGCGUUAAGUUGCAGGGUAUAGACCCGAAACCCGGUGAUCUAGCCAUGGGCAGGUUGAAGGUUGGGUAACACUAACUGGAGGACCGAACCGACUAAUGUUGAAAAAUUAGCGGAUGACUUGUGGCUGGGGGUGAAAGGCCAAUCAAACCGGGAGAUAGCUGGUUCUCCCCGAAAGCUAUUUAGGUAGCGCCUCGUGAAUUCAUCUCCGGGGGUAGAGCACUGUUUCGGCAAGGGGGUCAUCCCGACUUACCAACCCGAUGCAAACUGCGAAUACCGGAGAAUGUUAUCACGGGAGACACACGGCGGGUGCUAACGUCCGUCGUGAAGAGGGAAACAACCCAGACCGCCAGCUAAGGUCCCAAAGUCAUGGUUAAGUGGGAAACGAUGUGGGAAGGCCCAGACAGCCAGGAUGUUGGCUUAGAAGCAGCCAUCAUUUAAAGAAAGCGUAAUAGCUCACUGGUCGAGUCGGCCUGCGCGGAAGAUGUAACGGGGCUAAACCAUG
rnacentral:rRNA from 1 species